UCUUUUCAGUGUUUGCCAAGCUACCUAGUCUGCUUUAUUUUCCUCUUAUUUUUUUCAUAAUCCAGCUGAGGCAGACUUCUCUGAGCUGGAAAGGAAAUAUCAAUAGCAAGAGUUUCUGUCUCACUGGAACAACACCUGACUGCUUUGUCCACGUUGCCUGUGCUGUUGGGUAGCCACUCCUACUUCACGAGCACAUUCUUCCAGCAUUAUUUCCAUUGUUAUGAAUUUUUACCAUCCUUCAUCACUCUCUGAAAUGAAUUGACUUUAGCUUUGGCAGAAAAGAAAAGGGGGGGGGGGGCAGAAAACCACAGUUCAAAUAAACCUAUCUGAGCCUUCAAAAACAUUUGAUGCAUUAUCAAAAUAGAAAAACAGCUGUAAGAAAGUGUUUUACUGUUUACCGUGUAAUCAUAGAGGCACACAUUCUGUAAAUCACUGAAACUGCAACCGGAAUGUGGCAAGGGCAGUGCCAAAUGACCCUGGGAUGCCGUUAAUCACAAUUCUCAUCAAGCCUAUGGUUAUUUUUGAGCUGUGUGAUUUACUCUGAAACAGUCCUUAAAUCAGGCUAUAUAUCUGAAUUCCCUGAAGUGACCUACCGCAAUGGGGCACUUAGAAACAUGGUCCCACAUUUUGCUAGAAAGUCUCAUUGCCUUCUGACCAAAAAUUCUUAGGGGGAAACCCUGAAGCUGCAGAUGAGGACUCUGUUUCGGGUUACCUGUGGGAGUAAAUGAGCAAAUGAAAGAUCGGGAUUCCUCAGUGAAGAAGAGAUUUGAAUUGGAUACACCUGGAAGCUGUUCUUCCUCCACAUGCCCGUGUCCUUUACAUUGUCUCAGCUACUCAGCUGAGUCAGAACACUUACCCAGUGAAAUGAAACAUUUGCCAAAACAAAAGUCUUUGUAUAUUAUUUUAUUCACAGCUUUUGGGGGUAAGAGGGCAGUUCCCGUUGACCACAGGAGUGCCUGCAGGAGAGGCUUGGACAGAGUGCAGAAGAAGAAUGCAGAAGAACUACAGUCAUUGGAAGUAACUUUUCUUUCUCUUUCAAUACUCAUCCAUAUGCAUUAACACUGUGGGUGAUCCCAUGCACUUCAUAUACUCACCAAUUACCUAAAGUUAAAACUCCUGAUAUAGCUUCUUCUGAAAGACAGGGUGGGAGGAGUGGAGUCAACACAGUCAUUAUUGUGUAGAUCCAGAACUGAUGCCUACGCAAUAACAAUGCCAGAGAAGAGAAAGAGGGGCAGGAUUCUGUUCUGAGUAAAGGGAGAAAAUAAAUCACAGAAGUUUUUGAUGAACAUCUGGGAACUGUUCAGAUCUUCAAACUAGUGCUAAUCCAUACGAUGAGCAGUAGCAUGGAUGGGCAUGGAGUGGUAUGAGCUGAAGCUGUUCCUUCAGUAAGAAUGUUUGACAUCAUCCCUUAAGGCAUGAGGUAUAAUACCACCCAGUAUAGUUUAUAAUUAUAUUUUGUUGGUUUCCUUCACUUUCGUAACUUUUCCAGUCUUGAAAUCAAGAACUUAAUCUUUUGCUUUCCUUGAUUAAACUUUUGGUUUCUCUUUUAAGCAUGUCUGGUAGAAAGACUGAACCUGGAUAAAGAAGAUUCAAAGAAAGGACUUGUCUGGAGAGUAACUCAUCCAGUUAAACUGUGCAGGCAACAGCCUUCCUCCCUGCUGGAAGCUGAGAUACGUCUUUUGCCAGGUGAAGAGCAGCUUCAUAACAAAUGCAUUAGCAGAACACAGUGGAUAUCUGGGUCCUGACAUUCCAGCCUGGGGUUACCUGGUACUUAUGUCUCUCUGCUCUCUGCACGUUGAAUUUGCCAAAGAUCUCGAAACAGAACCACUCUGCUAUCUUCCUGUCACACCUUUAUGUAAGCUACGAAAGACUCCAAACUCUAAUGCUAAUUGUGACGUUAGCACAAAAGCAAACACAGUUGAAGAAGGUGACUCAGGAAGUAGGGAAUAUCAGACCUACUUCGUGAGGGAAGCAUGAAAAAAAUCAAUCCCAACCAAUGUUUCUUGCAGGAUGGCUGUCCUUUCUCCAAGUCCUAUCCAGGUUAGCAGCCGGCAGUGACUUUGUGGGUUGAAAUAAACAUUGAAGUAUUCUCUACAUUCUUAGGAAUGGCUCUCUCUUCUGUUUCCUCCGGACCUCAGCUUUGAGUCAGCACCACACCGUAGGCAAGCAGCUUGGUCCUCUCAGGAGUUGUUUCUCUCACUGCCUUCUCCACUGCAUUCAAAACGUUGUGUAGAGCUGAGCUUGCCCUUGAGGAAAGGAGCAAUUCCCCCUUCUCUUUUCCAGAAGUUUCAAUCUGACUCAGAGUACAGGAGCCAGAGUGAGGUAAACACACAAGUUUCUUCUUGGUCACCACCCAUUGGACCUCUUCAACAUAACGGGAAAUACACACCGGAUUUAUCCAAUAAACUGGAAACAAUCUAUCAUUUGUAACUACAACACUAUAGUAGCAAAGUGCACCAAAGUAAAGCACUUUUUAGUAACAACUUGGAUUUAAGAAGAUUUUAUUGCGUUAUAUAGAAGUUGAGUUUUGUCCACUAUUUCACCUGUUCUGGGAAAGAUUGGUUUGUGCCUCUCAGCAUACAGGACACUUAUUCUCAUAUAUAAAUACUUUCUUCUUGGGUUUCACAAUGGACAGAGUUUACUAUUAAAUAAAAGCCUUUCCAUUUAGAUUCACUACAGCACCACUGCUCUUCAACAAGGUGUCAUAUGUCUUAUUUUAUAUGAGUUGGGCUGAACCUGUUUUCUAAUGUGGGCAACUUCUUGAACACAGAACUAGCAAUAUACAUCUGAACAAUUUUUCUUUAAUAAUGCUUCUCUAAUUAUUUUUAAUCACUUGAGGAUUAUAAAGCCUAAGUAAUUCCUAUUCCUGCCAUUGGACAAAUAAGAUAUUAGGGAAAUUAUUCUUCCAGUCUUUGUCUGUGAUACUCUCCGCUAGUCUGUAAGUUCCUUGACUCACAUUCUGUCACUUUGCAUGUGCUUCUCCAGUAACUGGCUCCUGCUUUCAUUAGGGUGUUUAAAUACCAAGAUAAUACAAUGAAGUUAAUAUAAUCUGAAGUAUCUUAUUCUGCAACUGCAGAAUCUUGUCAGAAUGACUAUGAUUUCGUUUGCAAAUCUGGAUUUUAGGGAGCAGAAAAUAAUGUUUGUUUUUCCCAACCAACAUGGGAAGCAGGAAAGCGUGUGCAGCUGUUGUUAAUAAUUUUAACUUUAGUAGCCAGUUGUAAGAAAUUUGUGUCUCACAUAUUUAAGCAGAUUCUUAUGUAUGCCUGUAAAGAAGUGAAUAAAUUGAACUAUUCACGUCUAUUUCUGUAGUGGAUAUAGUAAUAUGACUACUAGUACGUUCCAAUAUGAAAUAAGUGCUCACAAAAGCUCUUAGAGCAGCAGUUUUGUGAUCCCA